GUGGGUAUAGCUCAGUGGUAGAGCGCAUGCUUAGCAUGCAUGAGGUCCUGGAUUUAAUCCCCAGUACCUCCA
rfam:Camelus ferus unplaced genomic scaffold scaffold15685, whole genome shotgun sequence.